GGCCCCAUCGUCUAGAGGCCUAGGACACCGCCCUUUCACGGCGGCGACAUGGGUUCGAAUCCCAUUGGGGUCA
rnacentral:tRNA from 1 species